AAGUCGUAACAAGGUUUCCGUAGGUGAACCUGCGGAAGGAUCAUUGUCGAAUCCUGCAAACGACCGCGAACAAGUUCAUAAACUGACCGGGCGACGGCGAUAGGGGGCGACCCCGUUCGCACGACCCCGGGCCCAACUAAACUCCCGGCGCGGAAAGCGCCAAGGACUACUCAAACGGAUUGCCCGUCUCCCUUGCGGAUUCCGCGGGGGAGGCGUCGGCGUCUGAAACGUAACCAAAACGACUCUCGGCAACGGAUAUCUAGGCUCUC
rnacentral:misc_RNA from 1 species